CUCCACCAUUUUGGAGCAGAAUCCCGAGUCACGCCACGCCCAGAGCAACAGUGGAGAUAAACUCCAUGGUAGCCGGGCAGGAAGCAGAAGCCCUGUCUGCGCACAGCUGCCCAGCACAAGCCACUAGAGGUCGCUGUUCUCCCAGGAGAGGAGGACCACAAACCAACAAGAAGGGAAGUUCUUCCAGCCAUCACUCAUUCCAGCUCUGCAAACUAUUUCUAUCACCACGAAAAGGCAAAAUUACAGGCAAACCAAGAUCACAGAGGCAACACCAGAGAAGGAGACAGACCUAACCAGUCUUCCUGAAAAAGAAUUUGAAAUAAAAAUCAUGAACAUGCUGACGGAGAUGCAGAGAAAAAUGCAAGAGCAAUGGGAUGAAAUGCAGAGAAAUAUGCAAGAGCAAUGAGAUGAAGUCCGGAGGGAGAUCACAGAUGCCAGGAAGGAGAUCGCAGAAAUGAAACAAACUCUGGAAGGAUUUAUAAGCAGAAUGGAUAAGACGCAAGAGGCCAUUGAAGGAAUUGAAACCAGAGAACAGGAAUGCAUAGAAGCUGACAUAGAGAGAGAUAAAAGGAUCUCCAGGAAUGAAACAACAUUAAGAGAACUGUGUCACCAAUCCAAAAGGAA